rnacentral:rRNA from 1 species
CAUUGCUGGAACGCGCUUCGGCGCACCCAGAAACCCUUUGUGAACUUAUACCUAUCUGUUGCCUCGGCGCAGGCCGGCCUCUUCACUGAGGCCCCCUGGAGACAGGGAGCAGCCCGCCGGCGGCCAACUAAACUCUUGUUUCUAUAGUGAAUCUCUGAGUAAAAACAUAAAUGAAUCAAAACUUUCAACAACGGAUCUCUUGGUUCUGGCAUCGAUGAAGAACGCAGCGAAAUGCGAUAAGUAAUGUGAAUUGCAGAAUUCAGUGAAUCAUCGAAUCUUUGAACGCACAUUGCGCCCUCUGGUAUUCCGGAGGGCAUGCCUGUUCGAGCGUCAUUUCAACCCUCAAGCCUGGCUUGGUGAUGGGGCACUGCCUUCUAGCGAGGGCAGGCCCUGAAAUCUAGUGGCGAGCUCGCUAGGACCCCGAGCGUAGUAAUUAUAUCUCGUUCUGGAAGGCCCUGGCGGUGCCCUGCCGUUAAACCCCCAACUUCUGAAAAUUUGACCUCGGAUCAG